GAGAGAGGUCAGGGACACAAAAAUCUGCUAAAUUUUUAUACCAUGGUUCAAAUCUAUGGCUCACUCA
rnacentral:tRNA from 1 species